rnacentral:rRNA from 1 species
GGUGAACGCUGGCGGCGUGCUUAACACAUGCAAGUCGAACGGAAAGGCUCCUGCUUGCAGGGGUACUCGAGUGGCGAACGGGUGAGUAACACGUGGGUGAUCUGCCCUGCACUUCGGGAUAAGCCUGGGAAACUGGGUCUAAUACCGGAUAGGACCACAUUUUGGAUGGUGUGGUGGAAAGUUUUUCGGUGUGGGAUGAGCUCGCGGCCUAUCAGCUUGUUGGUGGGGUAAUGGCCUACCAAGGCGUCGACGGGUAGCCGGCCUGAGAGGGUGUACGGCCACAUUGGGACUGAGAUACGGCCCAGACUCCUACGGGAGGCAGCAGUGGGGAAUAUUGCACAAUGGGCGCAAGCCUGAUGCAGCGACGCCGCGUGGGGGAUGACGGCCUUCGGGUUGUAAACUCCUUUCGCUAGGGACGAAGCGUUUUUGUGACGGUACCUGGAGAAGAAGCACCGGCUAACUACGUG